rnacentral:rRNA from 1 species
UUAUUUUUAUUAAAUUAAAAUUAAUUAGUUAUUAAAUGUAUAAUCAUUAAAAAUAAAAAAUUUGGCGGUAUUUAAUAUUUAGAGGAACUUGUUUGUUAAAUUGAUAAUCCACGAAUGGAAAUACUUAAUUUGAUAAUUUUAUGUAUUGUUGUUGAAAAAUUGUAUUAAAAGAUAAAAAUUAAAAAAUUUAAUUUAAUUAUAAUUCAAAUCAAAAUGUAGAAUAAUUAAGAA